CGUCUACUCUUGGACAGCCUUCUGAAAGGAAGAUUAAUACAAGAUGGCAUCAUGAGUCCGCAUGUUCACAUGAUUAAAGGUAUUCCGGUAGACGAUGGGGAUGCGUUCCAUUAGAUAGUAGGCGGGGUAACGGCCCACCUAGUCUUCGAUGGAUAGGGGUUCUGAGAGGAAGGUCCCCCACAUUGGAACUGAGACACGGUCCAA
rnacentral:rRNA from 1 species